CAGCUAACGCAUUAAGUUAUCCGCCUGGGGAGUACGGUCGCAAGAUUAAAACUCAAAGGAAUUGACGGGGGCCUGCACAAGCGGUGGAGCAUGUGGUUUAAUUCGAAGCAACGCGCAGAACCUUACCAGCCUUUGACAUCCUAGGACGGUUUCUGGAGACAGACUCCUUCCCUUCGGGGACCUAGUGACAGGUGCUGCAUGGCUGUCGUCAGCUCGUGUUGUGAGAUGUUGGGUUAAGUCCCGCAACGAGCGCAACCCUCGUCCUUAGUUGCCAUCAUUUAGUUGGGCACUUUAAGGAAACUGCCGGUGAUAAGCCGGAGGAAGGUGGGGAUGACGUCAAGUCCUCAUGGCCCUUACAGGCUGGGCUACACACGUGCUACAAUGGCAUCUACAGUGGGCAGCUAUCCCGCAAGGGUGAGCUAAUCUCCAAAAGAUGUCUCAGUUCGGAUUGUCCUCUGCAACUCGAGGGCAUGAAGGCGGAAUCGCUAGUAAUCGCGGAUCAGCAUGCCGCGGUGAAUACGUUCCCAGGCCUUGUACACACCGCCCGUCACACCAUGGGAGUUGGAUUCACCCGAAGGCAGUGCACUAACCGCAAGGAGGCA
rnacentral:rRNA from 1 species